GAUGAAGAACGUAGCGAAAUGGGAUAAGUAAUGUGAAUUGCAGAAUUCAGUGAAUCAUCGAAUCUUUGAACGCACAUUGCGCCCGCCAGUAUUCUGGCGGGCAUGCCUGUUCGAGCGUCAUUUCAACCAUCAAGCCCUGCUUGCGUUGGGGUCCUGCGGCUGCCCGCAGGCCCUGAAAACCAGUGGCGGGCUCGCUAGUCACACCGAGCGCAGUAAUACAUCUCGCUUUGGGCGUGCGGCGGGUUCUUGCCGUUAAACACCCCCUUUUUACCAAGGUUGACCUCGGAUCAGGUAGGAAUACCCGCUGAACUUAAGCAUAUCGAUAAGCGGAGGA
rnacentral:misc_RNA from 1 species